rnacentral:lncRNA from 1 species
CCCCAAGCUUACCCUUUGCUCGUCCCUGAGCAAACAGCUAAACUCAGAUGGAUCAGGAGUUGCUUCAAUGUUUUCUUUCCUCACAGGCACACAUGCUUUUACAUAAAAAUUCUUCCAGAUAAGAGUGAAGUGUCAUGGAGCUUAGUACCUACACUUAAGUCAAGCACUAUUCCUCCUGUCUAUACUUCACCUUUGUUCUGGAGUUUUGCAUAAGUUUUCAAAAAUAAAAUUCAGAGUUCCCAACAAUGAUUAUCUCAAGUCUCUCUAUAUGUGGUAUUUGUGGAUCCUUACCAAAAAUGUUACUUACCUAUAGCUAAUGGAAUAUUUAAGUGGAGCUCAUAGGAGUGAAAAACAGCUCAUACAUAUGUUGUCUAAUUGAGCCAUGGAUCCAAAGGAACUCAGCAUAUAAUUAAAUCAAGAUGUGCAUGUGUGGUGGAGUAAAUGAUAGUAAUGGUAAAAAUGUAUAAGUGAUAAUAAAGCUUACUCCUCAUUGCUCCUCAUAUUGCUAUCUCUCCUUUUUAAUCUUUGCUUUGGGAGAACAUGGGCUAUCUUUUUCUUCUUUUUUUAGGUGGGUAGUAAAUACCCCUAAUUCUACUGUUGAACACUUGUCAAUUUUUUCUGCUCAGGUGGGCAUCUUUGUACCCCUAAUUCUACUCCGGACACUUGUCCAUUUUUACCUCUCGUCUCACUCUUUUUUUUCUUUUUCGAGGUUCCGGGCACUUGCCCCUUUUUAUUUCCUCGCAUAUUUUUGCAUAACCCAUGCCUCUUCUGCAUUGAAUCUUUUUAAAGAGAGAGAAUAACAACACUUGGGAUAGUGAGUGAUAAUAUUUUUAGCAAUUUUAAUGAAUGGUGGUGGAUGGUGUAGUAGAUGUGUGCUAAUGAAUAUCUUAAUUUAACCACAUGAAAAGCUCCUAAGGGUCUAUACAGCUCGAUCAAACUCAAUGUGAAUAUAAGUAAAAGAUAUAGAAAUUGUAGCAAGUAUGGCUGUGGUAGGGAUUUUGUCAUGCUAGGAACUCAUCAUGUAAUUUGCAAGUUUUCAAAAUAAAUCUCCAGAACUUAGUGUAGUAGGAACAAGAUAAACAGUAACCCAAACUUUAUAUCAUGCCUUUCUCUUAGCUAGACUUUAGUUUUAGGUUCAUGCUUCCCAUAGGUAAUAAUUUUUAGUUUUAGUAAUUCCUGGAAGAACUUUAAUAUAAAAGCUAGGUACUUGAAAGUAAACAAACAGAGCAACUGUUCAUCAUUUCCAUCAUGCAUCUUUUUGGUCUUUUUAUUAUUAUUUUUUUUGUUUUCAUGUUUAUAAAAUGCAGUAAAUUAAAGCAAGAAAAUAUUUAUUGGGUUUUCUAAGUUUUUCUUUUUAAGAUAAAAUAAAACACUAAAACCGAAAAGAAUAAAUAAGAAGAGCAAAUAAAAACUUACUUGAUAAAGUGGGGAUAAACUCCCCCAAGCUGGAUGUGGUUGUCGGUCUUACCCAAUGUUCUAGAAUCGCAUCAUGGUGGUGAUGUUGUCGUUCAUUGUCGUGGUGUCUUGUCUCAGUUUUUGUACUGCAGUGGUGUGGUCCUGGUUCCACUUUUGUUGUUGUUCUAGGAGUCGUCCAUGUUCCGCUUGCGUAUUCUGGAUGUCGAGGAGGGUGUUGUCGGUACGGGUGAAGAAGGCGCCGGCCUCUUGGUAGUAGUCGUUCAUGAAAGCAUAAGAGGCGUCGGAGUACCGUCCUGCAUCGAAUUGGGGUGAGGGUCUGGACCCUGAAGCUCCAUAUGGAUCAGUGGAGUACCUACCUGUAUGGAAAGGCGGGUUUGUCCACUGGUUAUCUUGGCUCUCCGGCCAUGUCUCCUGUGUUGGCUCUUGUGGUUGAGCAUGUCGAACCCAUGGGUCCCUAAGGACCCGGGGGUUGUAGUCGCAAUAAUGCAGGUGCGUUGCUUCUUCCGACCCGAGAUCAGCUCCAUACCAGGUGUGUUCUUGAUGGGU